rnacentral:tRNA from 1 species
UCCAUAGUGGUCCAGUGGUUAAGAUUCUGCACUUCCAAAGCAGGAGCACAGGUUCAAUUCCUGGUCAGGGAA